rnacentral:tRNA from 1 species
CGGGCUGUGGCGUAGAUUGGUAACGCGUCCGGCUGGGGGCCGGAAGAUCGCAGGUUCAAAUCCUGUCAGCCCGA